rnacentral:rRNA from 1 species
AACGAACGCUGGCGGCAUGCCUAACACAUGCAAGUCGAACGAGACCUUCGGGUCUAGUGGCGCACGGGUGCGUAACGCGUGGUAACCUGCCCUUAGGUUCGGAAUAACUCCCCGAAAGGGGUGCUAAUACCGGAUAAUGUCUUCGGACCAAAGAUUUAUCGCCUUUGGAUGGGCCCGCGUUGGAUUAGCUAGUUGGUAGGGUAAAAGCCUACCAAGGCGACGAUCCAUAGCUGGUCUGAGAGGAUGAUCAGCCACACUGGGACUGAGACACGGCCGAGACUACUACGGGAGGCAGCAGUGGGGAAUAUAGGAAAAUGGGGGAAAGGCUGAUAGAGCAAGGGCGGGAGAGUGAUGAAGGCAGUAGGGAAGUAAAGCACUAUUAACCGGGAUGAUAAUGACAGUAACGGGAGAAUAAGCACCGGCUAACUACGUG